UUGCAUCCAACAUAUAAUGGUGGAUGGAAGGUUCUCUGCCGCUACAGGCCAGAUGGAAGAGCUGAUUUAGUAAUAUGACUAAUUCCUUCCAUAGUUUUUUCAUGAUAUUAUUGAGUUCCAUUAUAUAUAAAUGAAAUAUUUUCAUGUUUUGAUAUUUGUUUGAUGUUUUAUGUCAUCUCUCCUUGCCUACUAGUUUAAAAAAUAAAUGAUUUAUUUCUAAAUGUCUCAAAAUGAAAUAUGGGGUAACUAUAAUUUGCUUCCGCAUUUAUGGAAUAAUUUUGUGAACACUGAUUUAACAACAUCAUCAUAUUUGAUAUUCUGAGGAACCUAAACUUGUCACUACAAAAUGUUUAUAUGAAAUUUUGUUUUCGAGUAACUAUUAUUUGUGUUGUAUAUACGUGCAAGGUAAAGGCCAAAGGGAGUUAUCCAUGCUACCGUUGGUAACCACGCUGAAUAAGGAUUUGGAGAGGCUUCAAUAUGAAACAACUAAAACAGGAUCCACCACCAAAAUGCUAGUGUUUAUGGUGCUUGAGUCAUUGUUAUCCCUGGACUAUAUAGCCAAUUCGGGCGAACUAGUGGUGCACACACAAAGCCCAUUUUGAUGCACCCAACAUAUAUAAUGGUGGUUCGAUGGUUUUCCGACACAUCAGGCCAAAUGGAAGAGUUGAUGUAGUAUUGACUCAUUCCUACUUUUUAUCUUUCCAUGAAAUUGUCCAUUUACAUUUUAUAUGAAAUAUUUUCCAUGGUUUUGAUAUUUUUUGAUGUUUC
rnacentral:lncRNA from 1 species